rnacentral:rRNA from 1 species
UCUGAAUCUGCGNACGGCUCCGCAAACCAGUUGUAAACUAUAGCAAGCAAGCUCGUGUCCUUCACCGGGUGCGGGCAACACGGAUAACCCUGGUAAUUCUGAGGCUAAUACGAGAUCGUACUCCCUGGCUGACCGGGCAACUGGAAGGCUGGGAGGUGUGUGAUUUAGCACGAGGAAUCUGCUGGGAAUAGACACAUGCCUGGACCGCGCCAAAAACAGAUGGGGCUUCCCGCAAGGGUCGUCCUGCCUGAGCGGCUCUUGCUUUGUGCUUCUGACCUAUCAACUAGAUGGCAGCGUAAGGGACAUGCUAUGGUGACAACGGGUACAG